rnacentral:tRNA from 1 species
GAAGUUUAGGUUACACCGUAAACCCAGGACCUUCAAAGUUCUGAACAGGGGCCCACACCCCCCUAACUUCUG